AUGAAGAGGCCGGGAUCUUCAAACGCAGAUGACAAGAGGAAGGAAUGGACGAGCCUGUGGAAACUGAAGAUCCCAGGAAAGCUAAAAAAAUUUGCUUGGCGGCUUGCCAGAAACUCAAUCCCUACUGAAUCUGUGCGGAGCCACAGGAAGAUGACAGAAUCUGAUAUAUGUCCCGUUUGCAGCUCUGCUCAGGAUACUUGGAGACAUGCUUUCAUAAACUGUACCAUGGAAAAAUGUGUCUGGUCCCUCGUGGACUACGAUCUGAUCGAUCACAUGAUAGCAUGUUCUCACAACGAUGCGAGGCUUUGGCUCGUGGAAAUGCAAGCUUCCUUAUGCAGUUAGGAUUUUGUGAAAUUACUUGUUACACUCUGGUCGGUAUGGUGGGCAAGGAGGAAAGUCGUUCAUGAGGAGCAGUUUCAGUCUCCCCUAACCACUUUUUCCUUCAUACAAGGUUAUCUGAAUGACAUCCAGGAGGCCGAGCUACCGAGAACGAAGGCUCAUCGUCAGGUCACAUGGACAGCGCCCCCUGCGGGUUCAGUUAAAAUACAUGUUGAUGGCGCUGUCGGCAGGCAUGGCGGCCGCGGGUCUUUUGCCGCUAUUUGUCGUGAUGUUUCAGGUAACUUUCUUGGAGCUUCUGCUGUUACUGUUGCUGAACUUGUGUCGCCGGAGAUUCUGGAGGCCAUGGCAGCGAGGGAGGCACUCGCUUUGGCAAAGGACCUUGCCUGCACCAAGAUUGUUGUGGCCACUGACUGUCUAAAUACUGUAAACCAUCUCAAAACAGAUUUUUUCCGGUGCACCGUGGCAGUUCGGUUCAUUGCACUGUAG
rnacentral:rRNA from 1 species